AGGCUACGAAGAGCAAACGUCCUACUAUCGGUGUGGGACCCGAGCAAAAGAGGUUGUGCGAGAGGAAAGAACAUCGGUUCUUUCUAACCUACUUCUUCGGCUUCUAAGACUACCCUACUGUCCCCUACUGAGAUCAUAGUUGCGACCAUUCCUCCUCCAGCUCCAAAGAGAGUUCCUCCCACUCACAUCACUAACGUGUAUAUUCCUAGUUGGAAAGUUCUUAUUUCAAACAAUACCUCCAAUUCUCCUGUUUCUUCUGAGAUGCUCUAGAACAUCUUGACCUCUGCCGAUGAUUAUCGGGUGGCCCAAUUCGCUGCCGACACCAAGUGAACUCAUGCCUUUAUGAGGUUUAUGGAGAUGGAUUCUUAUCUUAAGGGAAUCUCCUCUGAUUUUGCUCUGCUAGCUAAUUCAGAGAGGGUUGCUGAAGAUAAGUUCAGGCUAUCCGAGGAGGCCAGUGUUUGAGCCUAAGAGGAGUAGAAGAAGGCUCAUUCUGAGGUUAGCGUCUUGAUCGAGCAAGAGGAGAAUUGGAAGGCUAGGGUUGCGAGCUUGGAGGAUAAGGUGGAGAGAUAGAAAGAGUUGGUUGUAAAUGAGACUUCUCAAAGAUAUCGAGAGGGCUAGAUUGCUGGAGCUGAAAUUUUCAAAAAAAAUAAUGUGAUUUUGGAUUUACGCUUUAACAAGAAGGUUUCUUCGGUGUCCAAGCCUCCUUCAAGCAAGUGAGGAGGGCCUUGAUCGAUGUCAAGAUUGAUCCCGAGGUGCUUACCCAUGCUACCCGGCUUUGGCGGGGAAGGACGAUGAAGAGUUGGAUAAGGAGGUGGUUUAUGAAGCUUAUCGGUCCCUAAAGAGGCACGAAAAGCUCGUGCCAAGGAAGAUGAUGAUGAUGUAGACAUCAAUACUUAUGUUGAAGAUGGCGAGACUUAUCCUUCCAUCGAGAUUCACAAGGUUUCCGAUGACGUGGCAGAUACUGCAACAAUCGAACCUCUUAUUCCUUCAACCGAGAAACCUCCUGCAACUAUUAUCUAGCAACCAGUAGAAAACCAAACUAUUCCUGAACAUGUUUGAUAAUGUCUAUUCUGGUCGUAUGUGACGGAGGAAUGUUUGAACAAUUUUUGGCCGUAUGGCUCAACACAAUUCUCUUUUUGUAGUAACUUUUACUUUAUCUCA